UCCGGAAUUAUUGGGCGUAAAGGGCUCGCAGGCGGUUUCUUAAGUCUGAUGUGAAAGCCCCCGGCUCAACCGGGGAGGGUCAUUGGAAACUGGGGAACUUGAGUGCAGAAGAGGAGAGUGGAAUUCCACGUGUAGCGGUGAAAUGCGUAGAGAUGUGGAGGAACACCAGUGGCGAAGGCGACUCUCUGGUCUGUAACUGACGCUGAGGAGCGAAAGCGUGGGGAGCGAACAGGAUUAGAUACCCUGGUAGUCCACGCCGUAAACGAUGAGUGCUAAGUGUUAGGGGGUUUCCGCCCCUUAGUGCUGCAGCUAACGCAUUAAGCACUCCGCCUGGGGAGUACGGUCGCAAGACUGAAACUCAAAGGAAUUGACGGGGGCCCGCACAAGCGGUGGAGCAUGUGGUUUAAUUCGAAGCAACGCGAAGAACCUUACCAGGUCUUGACAUCCUCUGACAAUCCUAGAGAUAGGACGUCCCCUUCGGGGGCAGAGUGACAGGUGGUGCAUGGUUGUCGUCAGCUCGUGUCGUGAGAUGUUGGGUUAAGUCCCGCAACGAGCGCAACCCUUGAUCUUAGUUGCCAGCAUUCAGUUGGGCACUCUAAGGUGACUGCCGGUGACAAACCGGAGGAAGGUGGGGAUGACGUCAAAUCAUCAUGCCCCUUAUGACCUGGGCUACACACGUGCUACAAUGGACAGAACAAAGGGCAGCGAAACCGCGAGGUUAAGCCAAUCCCACAAAUCUGUUCUCAGUUCGGAUCGCAGUCUGCAACUCGACUGCGUGAAGCUGGAAUCGCUAGUAAUCGCGGAUCAGCAUGCCGCGGUUGAAUACGUUCCC
rnacentral:rRNA from 1 species